rnacentral:antisense_RNA from 1 species
CCACCAUACGACUGGAAUCACACAUACACUGCCACAAGAGGUCUGCAGUGAAGGUCCCAAAGUCCCAGACAAGUCCCCUCUUGUUGCCCAGGCUGGAGUGCAGCAGCAUGAUUACAGCUCACAUCAGCCUCGACCUCCCGGGCUCAAGCUAUCCUCCUACCUCAGCCUCCCAAGUAGCUGGGACUAUAGAUAAGACUGAAAGCAACACCAGCCAGUCUUGGGAAAUAUAAAGUCACAAAUACAUUUUGAUAAUUUUUCAUUUUGUAAAGGAUCUUUCUGCUGAUGCAGCUGUUAAGAGUGUUUCAUAAACUGUGACAACACUGAGCAAAAUCAUAGAAGGAAACUCUAUGGACAAUUUCAGAUGGAGAAGAAGAAAGGACUGGAAGUUCAAUUUGGCCAUGACAAUUAGAGGCCAGGUGCAGUGCAUGUAAUCCCAGCACUUUGGGAGACUGAGAUGGGAAGAUCGCUUGAGGCCAGGAGUGCAAGACCAGCCUGGGCAACACAGCAAGACCUUGACUCUACUAAAAAAAAAAAAGGAUCCUUCAACUUCAACAAUAAUAACACGAGGGAAGUGAAGAAAAACACUUUCUAAGGAAAUCUCUCUCUGAGCUACCAUCCUGCUAGGGAGAGCCUGAAAGCAGAAUGCUGACUUGACUAGCUCUGGUCAAUGAAAGAAAUCACUAGUGGAAAGGCUACCAGGGGGCUUUCUCAAAAGAGAGGGACAGU